rnacentral:rRNA from 1 species
UACGUAGGGGGCGAGCGUUGUCCGGAAUCAUUGGGCGUAAAGCGCGUGUAGGCGGCCCGGUAAGUCCGCUGUGAAAGUCCAGGGCUCAACCCUGGGAUGCCGGUGGAUACUGUCGGGCUCGAGUCCGGAAGAGGCGAGUGGAAUUCCUGGUGUAGCGGUGAAAUGCGCAGAUAUCAGGAGGAACACCAAUAGCGAAGGCAGCUCGCUGGGACGGUACUGACGCUGAGACGCGAAAGCGUGGGGAGCAAACAGG